rnacentral:rRNA from 1 species
AACGAACGCUGGCGGCAGGCUUAACACAUGCAAGUCGAACGGUUGUAGCAAUGCAGCAGUGGCAGACGGGUGAGUAACACGUGGGAACCUUCCUAGGGGUACGGAACAACUCAGGGAAACUUGAGCUAAUACCGUAUACGUCCGUGAGGAGAAAGAUUUAUCGCCCUUAGACGGGCCCGCGUCGGAUUAGCUAGUUGGUGGGGUAAUGGCCUACCAAGGCGACGAUCCGUAGCUGAUCUUAGAGGAUGAUCAGCCACACUGGGACUGAGACACGGCCCAGACUCCUACGGGAGGCAGCAGUGGGGAAUCUUGGACAAUGGGCGCAAGCCUGAUCCAGCCAUGCCGCGUGAGUGAAGAAGGUCUUCGGAUUGUAAAGCUCUUUUGCCAGGGACGAUAAUGACGGUACCUGGAGAAUAAGCCCCGGCAAACUUCGUGCCAGCCGCCGCCGUAACAC